rnacentral:rRNA from 1 species
CCGUGCCAGCAGCCGCGGUAAUACGGAGGGUGCGAGCGUUAAUCGGAAUUACUGGGCGUAAAAGCGCAUGCAGGCGGCCUGUUAAGUCAGAUGUGAAAGCCCGGGGCUUAACCUCGGAAUUGCAUUUGAAACUGGCAGGCUAGAGUCUUGUAGAGGGGGUAGAAUUUCAGGUGUAGCGGUGAAAAUGCGUAGAGAUCUGAAGGAAUACCAGUGGCGAAGGCGGCCCCCUGGACAAAGACUGACGCUCAGAUGCGAAAGCGUGGGGAGCAAACAGGAUUAGAUACCCCUGGUAG